ACUAGCAGGAUCUCUGGCGUUGGGAAGAGUCCCUGUUACCCCUUUUUUCCCUUUUUACCGAAUAAAACCCUGCCUUACUCACCCUUCAGGUCAUCUACAAUCCUAACUUUUCAUGGCUCUGAGACAAAGACUCCGUCUUUUGGUGAACUAAGGAAAUGUCCUGCAACAUUUUUGGCACACAGCAUAGGACUUGAGAAGUGAAACCACUGACUGAGCACUCUGAAGGAGAGUUAAAGGUUUUAAGAGAAUGAAGAAAAUUUCAAACGUUCACUAAGGAGAACGGGCAAAAGAGUUGACUAAGAAAAUAGAAAAGGAUACCAAGAAAUCAUUGAAGAAGAGAUUAAAGUUAGAGGACAUUAUUUUGUAUUUGUAUAAAUGUGCAUGUUUCCUCAAUUUUUCUCCAGCACAUACAUUACUCUGGGCAUGAGCACAGAAAGCAAGACAAUUGCCAGGAGAAUGUAAUGAAAAAUGAGUUGAAACACUGAAAAAGAUAAAGUACAUCAGUGGAAUAUGAACAGAUUAGGAAAUAAAAUAAAGAAGAUGAGUGGGCUGUGGAAAUAAAAGGAAUCACAAAACUGGAGGCUUAAUGAAGUUAAAGAACAUGUGGACUAGGAAAACCAAGAUGGUUGAAAAGACAGCAGAUUGUGAACACACAAAAAAUUCUGAGCUUAAAUUGUCAGCAGCAGUAAAGCAAUAUCAAGUAAUGAGAAUUCCAGCUGUGAGGCUGUAUGAGUGAUUUGCUGGAGAGGCACAGAAUUAUAGGUCAAUGGAGAUAAAGUCAUCCAUAAACUACAAACAAGGGAGUUGAAGGAGCCAUCCAGGGACAUUUAGAAAUGUGGUUUAGUCAAAUGGCAUGAAACUUUCAGAAAUAAAGGUAUGAAUACAUUAUGUUAAAUGUCAUAAAAACACCACUGUUAUGGUAUGAAACAACUUCACAAUUUCUAAAGGCUUAUUUUUCAUGCUUUAUACUUGAUGACUUGAUAUUAGCUUGUGGUUAAUAAUUUGUAACAAAUAUAACAUGAAUAAAGAUGCAACAUAAGCUAGGUAAGUUCUAUAAACUGAAUAGAACAUGGAAAAUUAGUACACACAGUGCUAUGGGGUGAUGACAAACUGAAAGCAAGUGUAUUGUUUUUGUUUUGUUUUGUAUUGUUUUGUUUUGUUUUGUGACGGAGUCUCUCUCUGUUGCCCAGGCUGGAGUG
rnacentral:lncRNA from 1 species